UUUAAUUGGUUAAGUGAUGAUUAGAAGGCAUAUUAAUAUUGGAUUAUAUUAAUCUAAGAAAGAUUAUUAAGAGAAAGUUUCAUGUGGAAUGGUUAGAAUCUAAUGGCAUAGUUAGAUUAUGACUACAUGGCAUUGUUGUAAAUAUGAACAAGUUAGAGGACAUAAUGGAUAUUGAUCUCUAUUGCAUGAUCAUAAGGGCAUGUUUGGAGGGUUAGUUGUUAUAAGUCAGAAUUUUUAAGAAAGAAGAACUUAGAAGCAAGUGGGAGAAAGUAGAAGUCAUGUCCAUCUUCUCCAUUUUCGCAACCCAUGGACAGCCUCCACUAAAAGUGCCAUAACUCUCUGCUCACAGCUCCGAUUGAGGUUUGAAGUGGAGUGAUCCAUGCUGAGUUUGUGUGUGAAUGCAGCUGCGAAUUUGAUGAUGAAGAAGGUGAACCUUUGGGCAAGAGUGGAGUUCAAAGGCUGCAUUAACACCAUCUAAACCUCUAUUAAUCCAAGGUGAGUCCUUAGAUAGUGACUUGGGGGUGUUGCAUGUAAGGGUUUGUGAUUGGGGAUUUAGGGAUUGUGAGAAGUAAUCUUAAAUCCAUGACAUUAACAUGCUAAUUGUGAUAAUUGUUAGUUGUCUUUGUUAAUAUUUGGUUGGAUAUAUCCUUGAUCAUUAUUGCAUGUUAGAAUUUCGUUGGAAAUUAUAUAUAUGAUACAGGGGAUCAAUUAGAAAGGUUUGGGACUGUUUUAGAACUCUUAAAAUGCAGAAAAUUCAUUUCUGUUACAGUGUAAUCGGUUACGGGGUUUUGCGUAACCGGUUACGCUGCUGAAAAUGCAAUUCUGGGCUAUUUUUCGUGCCCGUAACCGGUUACGGAUUUGGCGUAACCCGUUACACUGGGUUAAAAGGGAAAAAUCAGCCAAACUUUAUAAAUUCGUAACUUUCGGCUCGGGUAUCGGAAUUGCGCAAACUUUAUAUCGUCGGAAAGCUGGCGACGUCUACUUUCUAAUAAAAUUGGUCCCCAAACCAGAAUGUUUGGUUUAAUUAUAUUUUAUCCCCACUUAGUGAAUCAAUGAAUUAGUAUGGAACUUAUGUCUUUACCAAUUGAUUAAUAAUUUUAUGUUAAGCAUGGCAUAGUUUAUUUAUUGCUCAUUAUGAUUGUGAUACCCAUAUUUGAAAGCGUUAUGCCAUUAUGUUUUAUACAUGAUAAUCUAUGGACCCCAUCGUUUUGGUUAAACGAUUGGAUUGAUUGCAUUGUUGUGACCUUGACUUUAUGUCAUAUUUUUGUAUGCUUGAAUCGAAGUGGCCGGCAGGCUAGAUUGGGAUAUACCUCUUACUAUGAAGUCAAGGUAUUUUCCCGGACCGUGUAGUCCAAUGGAAUAACCCGUUCAUGUGUAUUGUUCGAUAUGGUGUGCAUCUGAGCUACCGUUGCAGUGUGCUCGUGAGUUUCCGUACGGGGUUCUACUCACUUGGCGUUAACACACUUGCGUGCUCGGUAUGGUGGGGUUAUGCGGCCAAGUAGGCUAAUGCAUAAUGAGAUAACUCACCUCUAGUAAAGUCAUGUAGACUAAUACUAGGCUUUCGCCCGAUGGGCUCAGGCGUCAAGGUGGCGGUUUGUACUCGGCGUAACUCACUAGCGUGAAGGAGGUUAACGGGAUAAUGACGCCAAUUAGGCCAGGUCAUGGUACGGCCAUUUAGGCUUGUGGACUCGUUUAACCAUCCUGCAGUGUGCUUGUACAAGUCCCUUGACAAAUAGGCAGGAGGUUACUCAUCGAGGAUGCAUUUAUUCCAUAAUCCUAGCCGGGGUUGUUUACACUUCUGGAUUCCCCGUAUGCGGAUGCGGGUUUGCAUACUUGUUUGCUAUACAAUGUGUAUUUUCUUGAGACAAGUCCAAUGGUGGAUAAGUCGCCUUGUUUGCUCCGUACUUGUACCGGAUGUGAGGUUGAACCCCGGAUCAAUGGUGGAUUCGGUUUUUGAUGCAUGUACCCUGUAGAACCGAGUGGACCCAUAGGAUAGGAGGACUCACUGAGAUUUAGUAAUCUCACCCCAAUCAACUUAUAUUUUUUCAGGUGCAGUUAGUAGCGUUUGGUUAGUAACAGGUUCGGACUGAAGGCUUGGAAGUGGUGUUGGCUCGAAGACCUCGUCAGAUCUCUUUUUCCGCUGUGCAAGAUCCAUUGAAGACUCAUGUAUUAUGCUUCUUAGUAGAAUUUCAUGUUGUAUUUUAUAUGGAUCUUUCUAUAACUAUAGCUUCUGUAUGUACUCAAUAUCAAUUUUAAUGUUUCAUGCAUAAUAUACUAGUCAGUUAUGUAUGGGGUGUUACAGUUGGUAUCAGAGCAGGUCGAUUCUCGGCCGAGCCAUGAGACAUCACUAGCAAUUCCUUUUCCUCCUCUCAAGUGUGCGUUGCUAGCCUGAUUUUACUGAUAUCUCAUUCAGUUGUUGAACUUGAUCAACUCAUCGAUUGAGUGUGAGAUAGUAGGAUUACGGCAGAGCCGCCACGAGGACUCGUAAGCCUGUAAGGUUGUGAACCUAAGUUGUUGGAGUGGGAUGAGUAAUGAAUUGUUGGACGUUUUAAGUGGAUGAUAUUGGAGUCGUCAAGCUUAAGGAGAGCGUUCGACACAAAGUAGUAAUACCCAAACUGUCAAGGUGUGGAUGGAGACAGCUAGAACCCCCAGGAUUUUGAUUUGGACGAAGUAAACUUUCUCUAAGUCUUGGUAAUAGCAAGGGAAAUCCAAAUAGGAAUGAGUAGGAGCCUUGUAAGUGGGAUUCUCCGAAGGUGUUGAGCUGAGAAUUAGUAGGAUUCAGUACUGAUGAUGCUGUCGGUGUUAAGUGUGACUGAUGAGCUGAUAGGACAGAAUAACCCUUGGAAAUGCGAACAGAGGAAUCAGACCUUUCUGUUUGUGCUAGUACGGACAGUAAUUGGAUGGAUGAAGUAAUAGAUCCUGAUCCAACUUGAAGUACCCUAAUUGAGAGUAGUUACCUAGUAGAUGUUGGUGGAACGUAUGAGUGUGGUAACUUAAGAUUGGCGAAGCUUGAAUACCUUGUCGGUGGAAGAGGGCAUGCAUUUCCGUUCUUAUCAUUUUGUAUUUAAGUUCUAGAACUACGCUAGAUGGAAUAUGAAAUGAUGUAGAAGCGUGAAAUGCAGUGACCUAAGUUCUUGUUAGUUGUUGUUUGUCUGACCCCGAGUGAAGCUAUAGAACUACGCUUGGCAUUGGACGUUCAGGCGAGUAAGAACUAAGAUCUAUCUGGAACGACAGUAGGAUAAUCGCAGUUGAGUUGGUUGUUAGGAACCAUAGUAUUCCUAUCUGGACUGAAUUAUCCUUGGAAUCUCAUGCAUGCGUGGGACGAGUGGGUACACGCACUGCAUGGUAAUCCGAAGUUGAACUUCAAAUCUUCGUGCUAGGAGUUUUGGCUUUCCAAGUAAGUGAACCUUGAAGUGUAGCACUCUCAGGUUUUAGCAUCCUGAGUAGUGUGAUUCGAAAGACUUGAGGAACGAUGAAUCUGUUGGAGGCCUGUUCAGACACUUGUCGGUUGUGACUUUAGGAUACGCGUGGAGAUCAUUAUACGCCACUGAGGUAGGUUACCUAGAUACAUGGCCUCGGAGUUGGACCACCAUGUUGGUACUACCAGACGCGUAUAAUGCCACAGUAUCGCUAUCGUGCACAAGGAUGUGUGAGUCAUCUUUUUCUGACAUGUGUGGGACAAAGGUGAUCUGAAGUUCAAGGUAGAAUUCUGAUUUGGCACUUGUGAGAUGCAGAUCCAGACUCUCAUAAGGUAUAUGGGAUAAAGAUCCAUACGUCGCGCUCGAUAGUAGAGGAAUAACUGGACAGGCGAUGGUGUGAUAGAUCAACAUCCAAUACUAUACUUAUGGAGACCCUGAGUGAUCGUGAUCGCGUGAGUCAGUAUCAGAUUGUACCUUGGGAUAUUCUUGUUUCAUGAAGCGUUAAGUUGGCAAUUUUGCAUGAGUGCCUAGAGUGAAACUUAUGUGCGGUCAUGAUAUCCUGGUCAGCAUGGUGAGUGGCUAUCAUGUACCAUUGGCGACCGAUGAUGGAAUAUGCAAGUUGUAUCUUGGAUCGGCUCGAUGUGUGAUGUGUCCGGUAAGGUAUUGCUAGAUAAUAUGAGUGGAGAAGUGUUAAUCUUGGUAAAGCACGGACUUUUUGGUUUGAGAACUGCUAAGGAGUUUAUAAGAGAGAUGUUCAAAGUGCAAAGUGCAAUUUCUUGCAUUGUGGCUACACUCAGACCGUUGGAAGCACUGCAAUGAAGGAUGCAGCCGCCGAGGAAAUCAGUUUGGUUCAGAGGCAGAACAAACAUUAGAUGACUGUGUGAAUGGAGUGUGGCUAUGGGAGUAUUGUUAUAUCGGUAAGUUGCACGAGUUGUCAGAGGUGAUACUACGCUAAGAGAAUGAGGGUGUAUGGUUGAGUAAAAGUUGUGUAAAACUGCUAGAAUUAUCAUGAACUGCAGUAUGUCGUGAAGGAUUCGAUAUACCGGUUGAGCAACAAAGAUUUGUUAGAAUGAAAAACAUAGCAGAUGUACACUGUGGAAAUCAGUGACAAGGACGAACCUCUAAGUCAGUGAGUGUUUGGGUUUCAAUGUCCUGAGGAUGAAACGUGUACCUAAGUUGUGGUAGAUGAACUAUAUGGAAUGGCAGGGUAAGUAGAAGCUUGAUUCUGGAGAGUAUGCAACUUUGACGAGUAGUAGUUGAUGAUGGAUGUAUAUGGAGACCUGGAACGUGUUGUAAUUGGACAACUGUGGAUAAGGAAUUAUUGUGUAUUAAAGGAAACUAAGUGAAUUAUGGAUAUAAUAUGACUCAGAGGAUUUCAAGGUGUGUGACUUGUUGGGAUCAGAGUAGAGCAACGGAUCAAGGAAGAAUCAGAUAAGUCCGAGGUAGGAACGGACGGACUAUUUGUAGGAGUUAUGUUGGGAUGAAAGUAUCUUCCUAAGGGAAAUUGUCGAAGCAGCGUUUCGUUCUUUCUAGUCUCCCAAGGAUCACCGUAAUCUCGAGAAGUGUCGUCAAUGGGCCGGAUUAGCGUAAGUUCCUUGUGGCUAUGCCUUAUGCAGUACGAUCGUGCAGGAAGGCGUGGGCAGUGUUUGCAGGUUAACUGCUGAAUUUCACCUUUCAUCAGUGGAAUUUUGUGUGAGGUGGUGGAAUAACCAGGUUGUAGUUGCAGAGUGUUUCACCUUGUGGAUGGUAGUGACGGUUGUUACGGAUAAUACCGAAACGGAAAUCGAAGUAAGAAGCCUUAGUUGCAUACGCAAAGGGGAACGUGGAGUGAUUCGUCGUAAGCAUCAUGGAGUUGGAAGUUAAGACCAAGGGAAAUGGCAGUCAUCUUAACAUCAUUGAAUGGACUAAUGUAGGAGGUAAUCCGACGUUUCAUUGUGGAGAGCAACGUGGUAACGAGGAUUCAUGAACAGGAAGCGAUUCGAGGAGUUGAGGAAGAAUUAGUAAUGUGUGUUGAGCAAGGAUAAGUUCAGCGAAGGUUGAAACUAAGGACGCCGACAGGGAUAGAGUAUUACGGCUUUCGAAGGCAUGGAAGUCCAGUGUAGGUCAGCGGAAAUUAAGAGUAUUAGAAGAUCUUUCUUAGGGUUAUUGAGAUGAAGUUCCAGAGGAGAUACGUUAGGUGAGUACUAAGGUUUUCGGUCAGGAAUGUCAAGACGAAGUAUCAGAUGAGACGUGUUGCUUGAGGGUUAAGGUUUCUAAUCAUGUGUAGUCGGACACAGGUGUUUUGGCAGAACACGUUUCUUCAUAUGGAAUGACCCUCAAACAGAGUAGUGAGAUUACCUAAGGAGAAAUGCGAGUAAUAUUCUUUCCCUUAAUUGGAUAGCUAUGAUGGGUUGGUAUUCGUGGUGAACGGAAGGAAUUCGAGGACGAAUUCUAUUUAAGGGGGGGAGAAUGUAAUACCCUGACUCUCUAAACCCGAUAAUUAUCAUUUAAUUGGUUAAGUGAUGAUUAGAAGGCAUAUUAAUAUUGGAUUAUAUUAAUCUAAGAAAGAUUAUUAAGAGAAAGUUUCAUGUGGAAUGGUUAGAAUCUAAUGGCAUAGUUAGAUUAUGACUACAUGGCAUUGUUGUAAAUAUGAACAAGUUAGAGGACAUAAUGGAUAUUGAUCUCUAUUGCAUGAUCAUAAGGGCAUGUUUGGAGGGUUAGUUGUUAUAAGUCAGAAUUUUUAAGAAAGAAGAACUUAGAAGCAAGUGGGAGAAAGUAGAAGUCAUGUCCAUCUUCUCCAUUUUCGCAACCCAUGGACAGCCUCCACUAAAAGUGCCAUAACUCUCUGCUCACAGCUCCGAUUGAGGUUUGAAGUGGAGUGAUCCAUGCUGAGUUUGUGUGUGAAUGCAGCUGCGAAUUUGAUGAUGAAGAAGGUGAACCUUUGGGCAAGAGUGGAGUUCAAAGGCUGCAUUAACACCAUCUAAACCUCUAUUAAUCCAAGGUGAGUCCUUAGAUAGUGACUUGGGGGUGUUGCAUGUAAGGGUUUGUGAUUGGGGAUUUAGGGAUUGUGAGAAGUAAUCUUAAAUCCAUGACAUUAACAUGCUAAUUGUGAUAAUUGUUAGUUGUCUUUGUUAAUAUUUGGUUGGAUAUAUCCUUGAUCAUUAUUGCAUGUUAGAAUUUCGUUGGAAAUUAUAUAUAUGAUACAGGGGAUCAAUUAGAAAGGUUUGGGACUGUUUUAGAACUCUUAAAAUGCAGAAAAUUCAUUUCUGUUACAGUGUAAUCGGUUACGGGGUUUUGCGUAACCGGUUACGCUGCUGAAAAUGCAAUUCUGGGCUAUUUUUCGUGCCCGUAACCGGUUACGGAUUUGGCGUAACCCGUUACACUGGGUUAAAAGGGAAAAAUCAGCCAAACUUUAUAAAUUCGUAACUUUCGGCUCGGGUAUCGGAAUUGCGCAAACUUUAUAUCGUCGGAAAGCUGGCGACGUCUACUUUCUAAUAAAAUUGGUCCCCAAACCAGAAUGUUUGGUUUAAUUAUAUUUUAUCCCCACUUAGUGAAUCAAUGAAUUAGUAUGGAACUUAUGUCUUUACCAAUUGAUUAAUAAUUUUAUGUUAAGCAUGGCAUAGUUUAUUUAUUGCUCAUUAUGAUUGUGAUACCCAUAUUUGAAAGCGUUAUGCCAUUAUGUUUUAUACAUGAUAAUCUAUGGACCCCAUCGUUUUGGUUAAACGAUUGGAUUGAUUGCAUUGUUGUGACCUUGACUUUAUGUCAUAUUUUUGUAUGCUUGAAUCGAAGUGGCCGGCAGGCUAGAUUGGGAUAUACCUCUUACUAUGAAGUCAAGGUAUUUUCCCGGACCGUGUAGUCCAAUGGAAUAACCCGUUCAUGUGUAUUGUUCGAUAUGGUGUGCAUCUGAGCUACCGUUGCAGUGUGCUCGUGAGUUUCCGUACGGGGUUCUACUCACUUGGCGUUAACACACUUGCGUGCUCGGUAUGGUGGGGUUAUGCGGCCAAGUAGGCUAAUGCAUAAUGAGAUAACUCACCUCUAGUAAAGUCAUGUAGACUAAUACUAGGCUUUCGCCCGAUGGGCUCAGGCGUCAAGGUGGCGGUUUGUACUCGGCGUAACUCACUAGCGUGAAGGAGGUUAACGGGAUAAUGACGCCAAUUAGGCCAGGUCAUGGUACGGCCAUUUAGGCUUGUGGACUCGUUUAACCAUCCUGCAGUGUGCUUGUACAAGUCCCUUGACAAAUAGGCAGGAGGUUACUCAUCGAGGAUGCAUUUAUUCCAUAAUCCUAGCCGGGGUUGUUUACACUUCUGGAUUCCCCGUAUGCGGAUGCGGGUUUGCAUACUUGUUUGCUAUACAAUGUGUAUUUUCUUGAGACAAGUCCAAUGGUGGAUAAGUCGCCUUGUUUGCUCCGUACUUGUACCGGAUGUGAGGUUGAACCCCGGAUCAAUGGUGGAUUCGGUUUUUGAUGCAUGUACCCUGUAGAACCGAGUGGACCCAUAGGAUAGGAGGACUCACUGAGAUUUAGUAAUCUCACCCCAAUCAACUUAUAUUUUUUCAGGUGCAGUUAGUAGCGUUUGGUUAGUAACAGGUUCGGACUGAAGGCUUGGAAGUGGUGUUGGCUCGAAGACCUCGUCAGAUCUCUUUUUCCGCUGUGCAAGAUCCAUUGAAGACUCAUGUAUUAUGCUUCUUAGUAGAAUUUCAUGUUGUAUUUUAUAUGGAUCUUUCUAUAACUAUAGCUUCUGUAUGUACUCAAUAUCAAUUUUAAUGUUUCAUGCAUAAUAUACUAGUCAGUUAUGUAUGGGGUGUUACAAAUACUAAAUAAAAAUGUC